CCUGGUGAUGCAGAAGAUGCAUGUGGGUGCUCCCCCCCCCCCAACACAUGCACCCCAGUGGGUCAGAUUCUUGCAAGGGAACUGCGGAGGGCACCCGUGGGUGCUUCCCCCCACCACACGCACAGUCUGAUGCAUCAGACUCUUCCAAGGGUGCCACGAGGGUUCAAAUAGGAGUUGGUGGUGUGGUUGGCAGUCUGGCCUGUUGGGGUCUUUCUGAGCAUACAGCAGCGGAAAAAUUGCCCUCCUGUCUUUCUGUAGGCAACAGAGGAAUGAAAAGUAAGAGGCGGCUAUUUCCCGAGUGGCGCCCUGAGCCUCCUGAGAGGUGCCUUGAGUCUUAAUAAGUUGGAGAGCCACUGCUUUUAAAGGCCUGUCCGUUCUCUUGUCCAUUUUGUUCCACCUUGUUCUGCAGUCUUAGUUUCUGUAGAGGUGGGGAAUUUAUUGUUUCUGAAAAGGAGCCUAAAUGGGCUGAAUUAUGGGAUGCAGAAGCCCCCCACCUCCAGGCCUGGACUAAUCAGUGACUUAUUAGAAGACCCUUUUUCUGUCAAAAUGGUGCAGUGAUUUAAUUGGUUUUGACCUAUGUCUCUAUAGGUUAAUAUUAGUAGGGUGGAACCUGGACAGGAGGAUGGGGAAUUCUGCAGAAUCAACAAGAAUAUAAUUGUGCAGUCUUUUGUGUACAAAAGUUUGUAUGACUAUGCUUAUUGUUUCAUCCUAUUAACAAAAACGAGUCUAAAAAUAAUAGAAGCCACAGUCUUAUCAAGUGAAGUAAACUUUAUUUCAGAUCUCAGCCAUGGAAAUACUGAAUACAACUCCAUCAACAAACGUAUGAUAAAACAGUGUUUGAACUACAGAAUUGCAAAAGUGAAUAAAUUAACUUUAUAUGAAAGACUCAUCUGCAUUCGCAAUGUGCAUGUAUUAGAUCUAUGAAAAACGUAAUUCACUUUUUGAAGUAUUUUUAAUAACUUAAGGUUAGUUUUAAGAAGAUGGUUUGUAGAAUGAAUUUUUAUGAGAAAAUCAGUCAGGUAUGGUUGGUAAGUGGAAAUACAUCUCUCAUGAAUACUGUGUUACUCAGUGACAAAAAUAAGAUUGGCUUUAUGCUUAUAUCAGUUUUCACAGCUAUACCUUUUUUUACAGACCAGUAACAUUCAGCAGAAAAUUAUAAUGCUGAAAGAGUGCAAGAAGUAUCAGAGUUCCUACAGGAAGGGUCCAGAGGAGCAGCCUGGAGUAUCCAGUCCUUUGAAGGAUUGGAGUUUGGGAGAGGUCACUUCCCCAUGAAUCCCAAGGAUCUAGGGGUCUAAAAGACUGCCUUCUCUGCAGCCUCCCAAAUACUUCCUCCUCAGAGGAUUAUAUGAGGGAAAUUGAGCUUCCUGACCCCUGUUUGCGUUUAGCCUGUUGUCUUAUAGUAAAUAAUAAUGGUUGAGAUCCAUCAACCUCUCAAUAACUUAAGUGUAUUCCAUUUCUAUGUGCAUCUGAAUGUCUUUGUAAUUAGCAAAUGUCUGAAAAAUAAACAUUGGUGGAUCAAAUAAUACUUUGUGGGGAGAAAAAUAAUAUUUGAGAGGUUAAAAUCUUUAGGUCUGUCCCUGACAGUAAUGGUAGGUUGCUCUUUUUUAAAGAUUCAUGGUUGUGAACUUGUUUCCUAAAGCUGCUGAAAUAGAUAUUUCUUCUUAGGACAGACUGUUGUGCAGUGUACCAGUCCUCUGCAGGAGACUUGCAGGCCUCAUCUGUUAAAUGCCAUCUGGAAAAUAGGGCAGUAUAUGCUUUAAGGGAAUGAUUAAAUAGGGUUACUGCCUCAAGGGGUAGUUUUCUGCACAUUUAUACAGUGACUGAUAAAACCAUAUGGGUCCUGCAAGUCUAUUCUAAUUGAAUCAGCUAUUAUAGAAAGGCAGAAUUGCUAGAAAUGUACUAAAUGGAUGAACUCCAAGUAAAUACGUCACACAGUAAAAUAGCUAGAAAUAUUAAGGCACUGAAAAUAAGUCCCUGUUAGAAAUGGGGGAAAGGGGAGUUGGAGGUUAGACCUCUAAAAAAUUGCAGUACGUACAUAAAAAAUUGCAUUGUUAUUCUGGAAUAGUCAUGUAGCUUAGUUUACCAAGAAUUACCUGAUAUACAGGCAUCUUGUUCUGUUAUUUUUAUUGUCAGAAUUGUUCUGUUGUACUAUUUGCAUGGGCAACGUGAUUUGCCUUAAACCAACAGUUAUCGUUUGGUAGUGUAUAAAGAAAGGGGGUGCUUGCUAGAAGGGAGGGGUCAGCAGACCCCCCCACCCUGAACAUUCCUGUAGCACUGGGCAGAAUUGUACUAAGAUGCUGGUCUGUUCUGUGUGAGUUAUCUCCCAGAUGGGAAGCAGCUGAACUGCCUUAGUGUGGAGGUAAUUAGCCCAGGAACAAAUCUGCAUGUACGUAGCUAUGCUUCUUCCAUUUGAGAACCAGCAUGUGCGAAUCUGGGUCUGGUGGUUCUGCAGCCUUCCUAGCAAGGAGACCACAGGGGAGAUACCUGGUUCCCUCAGCAUGGGAUUGUGGGGUAAAUUGGAUGCGAGUUGUGGUUGUAUGGGGUUGGAGGGCUGGGGUACAAGAUCAGUAAGGCUGAGAACUAGUGCCCUAAGCAGUGUUGGGUAUGAUGGAAGUGAUGGUAGUGAGAAUAAAAAGAGAGAGAAAAUUAUUUGCAUUAACUAAAUAUACUACUGCAUGUUGAAGGUGUGUUUAAUCAUGCCCUACCUCAAUAUAAAAAAAAUAAAGACUAGGUACUCAUAAAUUGGCUGUGUGUGGUAAUUAGCAGAAAUAUUUAUGCAACAUUGCAAGGCAGAUUGAGUUUAAUAUAUCAAGGGUUCUCAAUGUUUUGUAUGUUUUGUACUAUGCUUAACAGACAUGAACGGUGAAGAGGGGCCUUUGUUGGGAAGGGUAGCCUAUAAAUCAAAUAAAUAAAAUUAACAAACUUUAGGUCACUGUUUCUUUUAGGAACUAAAUUUACAUUACUGUGCCAACUACAGCAGUUUCUUAAAUGCAACACAAUACUAGAGAAGUAUUUAAUGAAGUUUUAGCUUCUCUACAUAAAAUUUAGUGGCCAGAAAUCAGGAGUACCAUCAUUACAUCAGGAUCAUUGGCAAAUACUCUGUGAAUCAUGGUUCAUAAAAUUUGACUGAUUUUCAUUGAACCUAAAAUGUCUUAAAUGAUUCUUAAAUAUAUACUACACUACCAGUAUUUUUCAUUAUAGAGUAUUUAAAGGUAGUACAUAUGUUUAGUUUAAGUAGCAUUGAAUUGCAAGUUCACUUUCCAUAGGAUUAAGGAUCAGAGGCUUAAUUUUGGUGUCAUUGAUGUUGACAGCAAAAUUGAGAUGGACUUAAUGGGAUAAGAAUUAACCCAGGGUCACCAGUGAAAAAGCAGUUAGCUUUGGAAUAACGUUUCUCCAGUAUUGCAGCAGUCCCCUAAUUAAGAUGAGGCUCCUAUUUUGCUAGGUGUUGUACAAGGACAUAGAUAUAUGCAAUCUGUUGCCAGUGUUGGCCAUUUUCAAGAAGCCUAGGCCAAGCUGCAGAAGCAUAGCUAAAGCAGAAGCCCCCCAAGUGUUUCUUAGUAAUAGCAGAAUGCAUGGUUGUAGACAACUAGCUUGUAUUUAAUGUAACUUCUAGAAACUCAGUUUAAUAAAUGCUCCUAUUUGAAUUUAUAUAUAAAGCAUGAAGUGCACACAACUAAUACCAAGUGAUUUCUGGUGAAGAAAUUGUGCACAAGAAGAAAAACCAUGUAUUUUAUCAUCAGGAUUAAUUAGGAGAUCAGCCUUCAGCAUGUUUGAUAGAAAUG